rnacentral:rRNA from 1 species
AACGUAGGAGACAAACGUUAUCCGGAGUUACUGGGCGUAAAGGGCGUGUAGGCGGUUUGUUAAGUCUGGCGUGAAAGCUCUCGGCUAAACCGGGAGAGGUCGUUGGAUACUGGCAAACUAGAGGACGGUAGAGGCGUGUGGAAUUCCGGGUGUAGUGGUGGAAUGCGUAGAGAUCCGGAGGAACACCAGCGGCGAAGGCGGCGUCCUGGACUGGUACUGACGCUCAGGAGCGAAAGCGUGGGGAGCGAGCCGG